GAGGCCCGCGCCGCGUCAUGAUAAGGUUUGGCCCUGACCGUGCCCACAGCCCGCGCCCAAGGGGUCGGAGGGCUUGGCUGUGCACUUCCACUUGCCUUCUGGAAUAUUUCUGCCAAGAAGGCACAGCUGAGUGAGACAAACCACGCUGAGGGCCGGGGGUUCUGCACUCCUCCAGACGCCCCAAAGGAGAGAAAGUCUGCGGUCGUGCUAAGAGAGGCGGCCGGCCGCGUGCAGUCCACGCUGAUGUGUCCUUUGCUGUAACUGGCGUCGUCGCGGCCGGCGGAGUCUGAAGGAGGCCUGCCGAUCACGCCGGCCUUGCGGGGCUCAGCUCCACUCGUGUAUGGUUGUGCUGCGGUUGCGUAAGAGAACGCCCCUGAGCAUUUAGGGCAAAGGGGCAGGAUCCCUACAAGGACGCUCACGUGGCUCAGAAUAGACCUCGUGUGUGUGUGUGUGUGUGUGCGCACGCGUGUAUGUUAGUGGAGUCUGGCUGCGGAUGCCGUGGGAACUGACCUAUUGGAGCUUUCCUGUAAGUCUGCGAUUCUGUCAGAACACAGGAGUGAAAAGGAGAAGACAGGACAGCGCACCUGGGAGCCCACAGUUCUGGGACGUCUGCACCUCGCCCGGGAGCCGCGGGGCCCAGAUCGGGAGAGAGGGAAGAAGGCCCGACAUCCCGGCCAGCUCCUGGCACCCCUGUGUGGGCACGAUGCCUGCCGCCUGACGUCCUGGUGACCCACGUGGACCACGUGGGGGAGGGGCAGUGUGGUGUUUGGGGCGCACCUGCCCUCCCCCCCCGGAGGACAGGUCGGACGCAGAGGGAUUGUUCCCAUGGCACAGAACCCGGGAGAAUGUAGCCAGCCUGCCCACGACUCUGCCCGUGCUGGUGGCCGUGAGAAGUGCGGGCGCCCAGCUCCGCGGAGAGGGUGGGCGCGUCCAGGGAGCCCACAGAGGCAUUGCUGUUCGAAGCAAGAAGAUGCAGAAGGGGACCGUCCACGGGGCCUCGGGACCCACCAGCCUCAGCACCCAUGGGGGCUUAGACAGCAGACGUGUUCCUGACGGAGGCAAAGUGUCCGAGGUCAGGGGCAGAUGGGGUCCAGUUCAGGGCAGAGCCUUCCUGCCCGGUCCUCCUGUGCGGGAGAGAGGGCUCCGUCUUCUCUUUCCGUAAGGGCACUAGUCCCACCGUGAACCCCACCCUCAUGAACCCCCAAAGGC